rnacentral:lncRNA from 1 species
AAAAUGCCUAAUUCCUUCUGCAGAGAGGAUUUAUAACCUUGUAACUUUAUAAUUUAUACCACUACAAUAUUUAUAACUGAUUGGAAUAUAAAGUGGAUGUUAUUCACUUGAAGUUACUUAGAGAGAAGGUCUAAUGUUUAAUUUUUGGAUACUUCCAGCACCUCUCUAAGGCAGGGAAUGCUAUUGUGUUAUCUUUACAAAUGGGAAUGGAGAAAUUAAAAGUGGCUUUCUGGUCAGACAAGGAGCAUCUUACUGAAAGAAAUGAUGUCUCUAAUUAGAGAUUAAGGCUCACAUUGUAGCUGUUAGCCUUCUCUUAAUGGAUUGUUUCAGUGUCUUGAGCCACUCUUGUGUAUAACAAAUUAUCUGGCUAUUAUAUUAAUUAUUUAGUAAUUAAGGAACUUGAUAAUCCAAUCAGUUGACCUCAUUCCUAAAGGACAGACACUGCAGUGAAUGAACUUUCAAAAGUUCUCUGUGAUAUUUUCAUACCUACAUGUAUGAACUGCAAUUUCACGUUUUUGCUGAAUAGGGGAAUAGAGGAAUUGAAUAGCAUGAUGGGAGGGACAGAGAGAUGAGGGACUGUGAUGAUUUUAUAAUGUUAUGUGAUUUAACAAUCUCUUACUACUAAGAAAAGACAGAGGAGAAAUGGGUGAUGCUGUAAGCAGGCAACAGUAAAAAUCUUAUGGGCAGAAGUGCUUACUUUAUUGAGGAAAGCAGGAUUAGAAAAUGAGCUCUGUUAAGUAAAUAUUUUAAAUGUAAAAAGAAAUAGCCAUUUUCCUUGGGUCCUUCUCAAACUAUGUCAGAAGUUCUCGUCUUUCCAUUGCUUUCUGAACCUCAAGAUCAACAUCCUGGAUGUUUCAACUGGAAGCCUAGCAGAGCAGUGUCUGGGAACUAAGCAGACACUCUGCUGCAGUUAAGCUGCUCUGUGGACAGCUUGUGAUGUCAUCAUCAGCCUGCAGUCAUAAAAAACAUCUGCCUAGACACUGGGCCAAAGAAAAAAAAAGAGGAGGAAGAAAAAGCAGAUUUUCCUCGCUUGGCACCAAAGCUGUGAACUUUGCUUAGCUUUAUUUCCAAGGACUUUAAGGCAAAGACAGUGGCUUACUAUCAAUCAAGGUAAUUCUGUGUUAUCCUUGCACCUGUAGAUCAAGUUUGUCUCAGAAUG